rnacentral:rRNA from 1 species
ACAGAGGAGGCAAGCGUUGUUCGGAAUCACUGGGCUUAAAGCGCGUGUAGGCGGCUUAGAAAGUGUCGUGUGAAAUCCCGCGGCUCAACCGCGGAACUGCACGGCAAACUACUUGGCUUGAGGUCGGUAGAGGUGCCUGGAACUCUAGGUGGAGCGGUGAAAUGCGUAGAUAUCUAUAAGAACGCCAUAAGUGAUAGCGGGGCACUGGGCCGAUUCUGACGCUGAUACGCGAAAUCGUGGGGACCAAACAG